rnacentral:rRNA from 1 species
GAGGGAUCAUUACACAAAUAUGAAGGCGGGCUGGAACCUCUCGGGGUUACAGCCUUGCUGAAUUAUUCACCCUUGUCUUUUGCGUACUUCUUGUUUCCUUGGUGGGUUCGCCCACCACUAGGACAAACAUAAACCUUUUGUAAUUGCAAUCAGCGUCAGUAACAAAUUAAUAAUUACAACUUUCAACAACGGAUCUCUUGGUUCUGGCAUCGAUGAAGAACGCAGCGAAAUGCGAUAAGUAGUGUGAAUUGCAGAAUUCAGUGAAUCAUCGAAUCUUUGAACGCACAUUGCGCCCUUUGGUAUUCCAAAGGGCAUGCCUGUUCGAGCGUCAUUUGUACCCUCAAGCUUUGCUUGGUGUUGGGCGUCUUGUCUCUAGCUUUGCUGGAGACUCGCCUUAAAGUAAUUGGCAGCCGGCCUACUGGUUUCGGAGCGCAGCACAAGUCGCACUCUCUAUCAGCAAAGGUCUAGCAUCCAUUAAGCCUUUUUUUCAACUUUUGACCUCGGAUCAGGUAGGGAUACCCGCUGAACUUAAGCAU